rnacentral:rRNA from 1 species
UACAGAGGGUGCGAGCGUUAAUCGGAAUUACUGGGCGUAAAGCGCGCGUAGACGGUUUUGUAAGUCAGAUGUGAAAUCCCUGGGCUCAACCUGGGAACUGCAUUUGAGACUGCAUGGCUAGAGUAUCGAAGAGGGAAGUGGAAUUUCCGGUGUAGCGGUGAAAUGCGUAGAUAUCGGAAGGAACACCAGUGGCGAAAAGCGACUUCCUGGUCGAAUACUGACGUUCAUGUGCGAAAGCGUGGGGAGCAAACAGG